UAGGGAAUUUUCGGCAAUGGGGAAACCCUGACCGAGCAACGCCGCGUGAGCGAAGAAGGCCUUCGGGUCGUAAAGCUCUGUUGUAAAGGAAGAACGUCGCAUGCAGGAAAUGGUGUGCGAGUGACGGUACUUUACCAGAAAGCCACGGCUAACUACGUGCCAGCAGCCGCGGUAAUACGUAGGUGGCGAGCGUUAUCCGGAAUCAUUGGGCGUAAAGAGGGAGCAGGCGGCCGCAAGGGUCUGUGGUGAAAGACCGAAGCUAAACUUCGGUGAGCCAUGGAAACCGGGCGGCUAGAGUGCGGAAGAGGAUCGCGGAAUUCCAUGUGUAGCGGUGAAAUGCGUAGAUAUAUGGAAGAACACC
rnacentral:rRNA from 1 species